AGGAGCAACAGCCCUAGUGGCGGGGCCAGCUCUGGAAACCUGGAUUCAGCUCCGGUAGGAACUCCGGAGGUCUCCGUCUGCAGGGCCUGGAGGCUCCGGGGCGGG
rnacentral:pre_miRNA from 1 species